UACAGAGGUCCCGAGCGUUGUUCGGAUUCACUGGGCGUAAAGGGUGCGUAGGUGGCGAGGUAAGUCGGAUGUGAAAGCUCGGAGUUCAACUCCGAAAUGGCAUUGGAAACUACCUUGCUCGAGGGUUGGAGGGGGGACUGGAAUACUUGGUGUAGCAGUGAAAUGCGUAGAUAUCAAGUGGAACACCAGUGGCGAAGGCGAGUCCCUGGACAACUCCUGACACUGAGGCACGAAGGCCAGGGGAGCAAACGGG
rnacentral:rRNA from 1 species